UACAGAGGGUGCGAGCGUUAAUCGGAAUUACUGGGCGUAAAGCGUGCGCAGACGGUUGCGUAAGUCAGAUGUGAAAGCCCCGGGCUCAACCUGGGAAUUGCAUUUGAGACUGCGUAGCUAGGGUCGGAAGAGGGAAGCGGGAAUUUUCCGGUGUAGCGGUGAAAUGCGUAGAUAUCGGAAGGAACACCAGUGGCGAAAGCACUCUGCUGGGCCGACACUGACACUGGAGAGACGAAAGCUAGGGGAGCGAAUGGG
rnacentral:rRNA from 1 species